rnacentral:rRNA from 1 species
UGGGGAAUAUUGCACAAUGGGCGCAAGCCUGAUGCAGCCAUGCCGCGUGUGUGAAGAAGGCCUUCGGGUUGUAAAGCACUUUCAGCGAGGAGGAAGGGUUCAGUGUUAAUAGCACUGUUCAUUGACGUUACUCGCAGAAGAAGCACCGGCUAACUCCGUGCCAGCAGCCGCGGUAAUACGGAGGGUGCAAGCGUUAAUCGGAAUUACUGGGCGUAAAGCGCACGCAGGCGGUUUGUUAAGUCAGAUGUGAAAUCCCCGCGCUUAACGUGGGAACUGCAUUUGAAACUGGCAAGCUAGAGUCUUGUAGAGGGGGGUAGA